UACUAAAAUAACAAGCUACUUAGGUUUUAAAUCACAUUUAUGUAUUACAAAUAAUGAAAUAAAUUAAACCGGUGCGGGUUGGUUCAAAUCGAAUUGCAGUUUUCCCAAUCUUAAUCUAGUCUGCAUGUGGGUUGGAGUUUUCUUAGUCUUAAUCUGAUCCAUUACAACCAGUGUGGUUUGCAUUACAGUUUGAACCGGUGUGGUAUGAUGUGGUACCGCAUUUCUGGUGUGAAAUGCCCACCCCUACCAACAAUUUUGAUAUUAUUUUAUUAUUUCUGAAAUAAGUUAUGCAAAAAGAAAACUAGUUUCUCUUUCUUCUCUGAACUACCGCCUCUUCUGAGUCUUCUUUCACCCUCGUUCUUCUUUUGUUCUUCAUGGAGAGAAACAUCCACCUCUUAGUCUUCUUGCAUUAAAUCUCUCAAUAUCUGAGAUUGAGAUUCUCAAUUUAUCAUAGCCGAAUUGGAUACCAUAACUCAUCGCCUUCAAAUCUCUUUUCUCUACUCACUCAUCGGAUCUACUGCAUAUCGGGUAUCUCCUUCCAGUUGAUCAGUGAUGCUUUGUAGAUGGGUUGUAAAGAAUUUGAUUAGUUGGUGUAGUUAAGUAUUGGAAGACUUGAUUGCUUUGGGGUUGGAUGAUUCACAGUUCCGCAACGGAUCUUGGGUAAGGCAUCGACUUUUGAUACUGGCAUGCAAAGAAUCGAGUGGCCAAUCAAACACUCGGCCUUUUUCUCUUUUAUUGCAAAAAUUCUGAAUGUUUGGCUGCAUGAGAAUUUGCAAUAGCAGAUGAUGAAAAACAAAACCUUUGUUAUGAGAGAAGAGAGAGACGAGAGAAAAACAAUAAAAAUAAAAAAAAAAGACAGGUUAAGUUGAUCGUGUCAAAUUUGACAGGGAGCCUGAGAAAUGUCAUCCACGAUGUAGCCAUCUGGAUUUGACUCUUGGGUUGGAGAGGAACGCAGUAGUCAUUUCUUGUCGUUGGGCACUUCAGGGGCACUACGGCCGGAGUUGCUCUUAGAGCAUCUUCAAUGAGGAGGUUAAAUUUUUUUAUUAAAUUUUAAAUUUGACUGCUGACAUAAAAUUUGAUCUUUUGUAAGUUUUGCUCUCUAACCAAUCGGUCAAAAAAAAUAAUAAAUUUAUAAUAUUUUAUAAAUAGUUUUAUUAACACCCCACUCACUUUAUCUUUAUCUCCUCUCACACUUUUCUUCUCUUCUCCGAUCACACCGUCCAGUUUCUUUAUCCUGCAAUUGCAAGUCCACUUAUCCUCUAGAGACAAGGCAGCCAAGAAGCUCGAGAACAAAGACCGAAUCUUCUUACUGGGUGUAGGUAUGUUUGAUCAAGCAAUUUGGAAUUACCUGCUCAUUCAUUGACUGCAAUUUGAUCCUUUUACCAGCAAUCCUCUUCUUCCCUUGAACUUGAUCUGCAUUUCCUCUUUUUGAUCUUCAAAUAACAAUCUAAUGCUUUAGGUAUUGAUGCUAUUGGUUUUUCUAUUUCUAAAUUGCAGAUCAGCAAAUCUGAUUUGGGUUUCUUUGAAAAGAAAAAGAAAGAGAGAGAGAGAGAGAGAGAGAGAGAGAGAN
rnacentral:lncRNA from 1 species